rnacentral:lncRNA from 1 species
AUAACCAGCACAACAGACGUAUCUUCGAGAAACCUUUGGACGGCUUUUGGGCCCAUUGCCACAUCGAUCUAUGACUGUAAGAUGGCAACGUGGAGAAAGAUGUCUGAAAUUUGCUUUUUGCUAGGACCAUUCUGAUGCGAGGCUGAUCGUGCAUGGUGGAUGCCCUCGUCGGCCCGCGAGUGCGCGGUUGGUGCCGGCCCCGCCGACGACCGCGACGCUUCCAGAUUCCAAGGCUAUAAGCACCUGCCGACGGGCUCAUCUCAGUCAUCUGUGCAACACCGAAGCUACGUACCCAAGAACAACACUCUUGCAUGCAGUUGUAUAGACGGGAGUCCGGUGCUUAAUACAUCUGUUGUAAAAUGGGAUCUCUGGCGGGGCUGUACGGCGGCGGCCGGGGUUCGGCAGGCGCUGCGAAGAUCAACGGCGGCAGCGGACCGUGGCGGGCGCCGGCGCCGGUGAGGCAGCUGUACUGGAGGGUGAAGAAAGCCGUGCUGCGGCGGCCGAAGCGCAGCGAGGCGAGGUUCGGGUACGACCUGCAGAGCUACUCCCGAAACUUCGACGACGGCCAGCUCGUGUCCGCUUAGUGGAUGUAUAGCGUUAGCGUCCAGUGUAAAUGGCUCUCUUUGUUUCUGUUUUCUUUAAGCUGGGGAGCUCGAAGCGGUAGCCACUCGUUGUAUAUAUACAGGGGAGCUCCAAGUUGUAGCUGGACAUCAGGACAUGGGGUGUAUAUAUGUUAGCUUGUAGUAGUACACUCUGUACAUACAGAUUAACACCUUUCAGACUUUCAGUGAUUGGAUAGCCACAAUACCCAUUCAUAAAUCACCCUAUUGCUAGCAAAUAUGAAUCGGUUCUGAAAAUUGGAAAGUACCUGAGCUGAGAACAUAGAUGAUUAUACUAUAUCUUAGAUACCAUUAAAAUUCUUGGACCAUGGUUUGUGUGUUGUCAGCCUAAAUCACUUGCUGCUGGUCCAUUAGUUGGAAUCCUAUUGUCUGAUAUCAAAUGAUGGACCAUGAUGAUGGCUUUAUUCGCUAACUGAACUUCUUGCUACUUGCAGUAUGACCGGCCUCAAAGUCAGACAGUUCUGGUGGAUAACCCCCGGACAAUGAAUGACAAGGGCAAGCUCGUAACCGAACUCAUUGCUAACUAAUACUGUCAACAAACUCUGUCUUUCCAUCACUGGUUAAGAAGAAGCAAAUAUGUGCGUGAUUACUAUUUUUGCGUGUGUAUGAUGAUAUGAUCGUCCAGGUGAGCAAUGUGGCUGUUGGUGUCACCUUAGGAAAAAGAUGACCAAGAAGAGAUUCUUGAGUUUUACCCCAGGGCAGUCAACUCGUUCUACCACGCUUUAGUCAACACAAGUGUUGGCCCCCGAUGAAUCAAAGCCUUUAAAAACUCAAAGUUCCGCUUAAGGUGAAAGUUUUUAUGUGUCUUCUGCGUCGUGGGGUAAUUCUCACAAAAGAUAAUUUACUAAAAAUAAACUGGCAUGAUGACCCCAAGUGUGCGUUUUGCUCUCAUAACGAGUCAAUCAAGCACCUACUUUUUGACUGUCAGUUCGCAUAUGGUCUACCAUUCAUGUGGCGUCUAAUCUUCGUCCGCCACAUGGCAUAUCAAAUAUUUUUGAUAAUUGGCUACAUGUCAUAGGCAGUAAUUUUAGAGCUAAGAUUUUGGUGUGAGCGACCGUGCUUUGUUGGUCGAUUUGGCUAUGCAGGAACGACGUUAUUUUUAAUCAUAACCGGCCAUCUCCCUCUCUUAUGCAUGGGCGUUAUUGGAGCGGGAAGUGUACAUGCCUAUGGUUAUGGCUGCCUGUACUCAAGUGAAGCAAGCUUUUAAGGAAGGUUUUUACCCACAAUGGGUUGUAGUGUAAACUGCGACAGCAAGCUCCUGAGUGUUUUUCUUGUCGGUUGUAUUAAUUUUUUUUUCUUUAUUUCUUAUCAUAUGGUUUAGUUGGGCUGUAUGCAUCUUAUUAUGCAGAGACCGGAUGCGAACUUGCUUGAUGUAUCUUCUUGAUGCGACUUUUAAGUUCAAUAAAAGCUCUUUUUAUCAGAAAAAAAUGCAUGCCCCUGGGGGAAUCUGUAUCAUCGUCGGCUUUGUCAGGCCAAUGUUAAUCAAGUGUGUCUUGGAGCUUGAUAAAAAACAAGAGAAACAGUAGGAAAUGAGGUCAGGAGAGAAGGAAAAAAAAAGGAGCACCGAAAUGUGCAAUGUUUGUGUUUUUCUUUUCUUUUGAAAUGUAAAUAUGCUGGCUGUAUGUGGUAGCUAGAUUAUUAUGUGCUCUGAACAAGAAUGUGUUGGCUAUAUGUUUCUGAAAUUAUUAUGCCCACGAAAUUUUAUUCUAUUCCCAUCAUUUUUCCUCUCUUUUUUCCGUUAUCCUUUUUGGACAGUUCCUUUCUGUAACCAUAUUGGACAUGCUGAAGCAGCUUUGCACUAGCUCUGAUUUUGAGUAGUAGAAAACUUGGAACUAGUGCAGCAAAAGGAUGGUGGUAUCUACUACAAAGGGACAAAUGGAUUGCCUGCUUAUUUUUCCACUGUUUUUUAGACAAAAGGCUCAGCGAGCCUGACUUUAAAACAAUAAAGCCCCAAAGGCCACAAACCAUACAACAAUUUGCUGAGGUUUCCAGCUAGAAAUUCCAAGCUCGGGGAAAGGCCAGCAGAACUAAAAAGACAAAAGAACAAGUAAAAAGCAAGGGGAAGCAACAAGAGCCUCCCACGAGAGAUGAAGUAGAACGCUGAAGCUUCAAUGGAUCGCAAAUCAUGCAACUACCACCACCAAGGUGCCACCGCCUGACAUAGCCACCAACCCUGUACAAAAUCAAGAAUCCAAAGGAAAAGAGGCUACAAAGGCGGCACCCCAAGAGAAAAUCGGCGUCAACGAACGGCGAUGGGCGAGCAAUGACAAAGGCCAAGGACAGCUUCCGCCAGAGGUCUAACCUCCCACCUCAAAGAACGCCUCCAACCACGGCCAAACUAAACGAAUCCGGCCAAAGGCAAGAAUAAACCAUCGGUAGAACCCACAGCAAGACAUCGGCGUCGAAAACCCCCUAGGCUCGAGAGCGGUCGCCAAGACCAUGACACAAAUCGUGUAUAUGUGCCCAGGGAAACAUCGAUCAAGAUCAGCAAUGGCAGAGAGGGCCUGAAGUUGAACCCACAACCAAGCAAAAGUCACUGACAAAUCGGACGAAGCAACACCAGCGAAAGAGGAACAUCACAAGGAGAUGGGACAUGAAGGUGACCUCCUACACCACCGGAGGCAACCCACAAAGAAGAUGGGAUGGAGCCUACCAAAAAAUUAUGGCAUGACAAGGCACUCUACACUAGUAGCAAGAUCUAGCUCACGAAAACUAUGCCUUCAAGAAGGAAACGGCAAGGAAUGUCCUCAUAAUCCAACCCAAGCGGAUCUAGGUUUUCACCCGGAGAAAACAAAGUCUCUCUUAGGAGCACAAAAAACACAAUGACUCCUAUAGACGACAAGAGGUCGCCGACGCCAUUUGCACUGACAGAGGCAUGGUUUUCACCCAUAUCUUCAGCCUCCACCCCAAAAGGCCACAACUUUCUUCGCGCCGACCAGCAAACUAAAAGGAUCCGCAAGGAAGCACGAAGAUAAUAUGAGCACAAGGAAGCAAAGAGAUGGCAAUUGACCAUGGAGACCACCAACAGUGGCCAAAAAAGAUGUCUACCCCGUCCCAGGGCCAUACUAACAAGAUCUGAACAAAAAUCCGGUAGGCCUGAAGGGGACCCAACCCCGACAAGUGAACACUCCACCCGAACUCAAGACAAGAUGCCCCAGAUAGCUAAGAGGAGACGGGCUGAGCAGGAGGGACUCACACUUGAGAACAACCUCCCGUUAAAAACCAAACCCACCGCCGCUGCGGCAGAUCUGGGUGGCCGACGAGCAGGCCCCAGCCAUUGUCGCAUCUGGAAAGGCCAGCCAUAAUCAUACCCGCCAAGAGGAACCCUGGAGACCGGCCUCAAGGGGAGCAGAAGGCAACCACCGCCAAACACACUCCAAUCCAGCGCAGAAGGACAACAAGCAGCCUGCCAGCAGGCGCCUUCAUUGGCAGUCCCAGCCAAAUCCCGACGACCACCUCAUGGUAUGAUGUGGGAAGGGGAUAGAGAGGAAGGAGCUGGCGGCGGGGAUCUAUGGUUUGCCUCUAGCUCGCUUGGAUGAGACAACGGGAGAGAUGCGAAGCAUGUCCUCUGUGUUACCAUUUCCACUGUUCACAAGAAUUGAAGAAAAGAUUUGUUUACCUUUGCACCAAAUUAAUAAGUUUUUUCAAAUUUCUGAACUUUGACCAACUAUUACACCAAUAGUAUAAGGUUAUUGUGACCCAAAAGUGAUAUAAUUAGAUACUAUGUUGGAAAAAAAAUAUAACCAUGAUAUCAUCCGGAUUAUCUUGGCGCCUAACCACUGAAGAAUCUCUCAGCGGACGAAGACCCCCCCCCCCCCCCCCGUGUCUAAGAUGACAUGCACAAGUGCCCCGCAUCUCUUCCUCCUCGGGCCCCCUCUCCCCCCAACCCCCCACGCAUCGACGCGCCUGCAUCCCCUUGCCGCCGCCUGAGCCGAAGGCAGCCUACUCCCUGCCGAAGGUAAGUUUUUGUUUUUCUUCUUUUACUUUUUUCUGCAAAAUAAAAAGUUCAACAAAAAGAUAAGAAAUAAAAGUAAAAAAAAUCAGAAAAUAAAAUGUAAAAGUUCAGAAAAUUAAAUCUCAAAAAAUAUCAUCCGGAUUAUCUUGGCGCGUAACCACUGAAGAAACUCUCAGCGGACGAAGACCCCCCCCCCCCCGGUCUGAUGACAUGCGCAAGUGCCCCGUGUCUCUUCCUCCUCCUCCCCCCCCUCUCCCCCCAACCCCCCACGCAUCGACGCACCUGCAUCCCCUCGUCGUCGCAUGAGCCGAAGGCAGCCUACUCCCUGGCGGAGGUAAGUUUUUGUUUUUCUUCUUUUACUUUUUUCUGCAAAAUAAAAAGUUCAAAAAAAUGAUAAGAAAUAAAAGUUAAAAAAAAUCAGAGAAUAAAAUGUAAAGUUCAAAAAAUUAAAUCUCAUUUUUUUUAAAAUAAACUAAAAAUUAAAAGUCAACAAGAAGAAAAUAAAAAAGUUGCCAAAAAGGCAAAAAAAAAACCCUGACAACCCUUCGUCCGCCAGGAUGGUUUGGGCGGUUAUUUGCAAAUUAGGUGACCCCGAUAUGAUUACAUAAUAUAUUGAAAAAAUGCUAAUGGUCGAUCAACAUUUAACAUAAAAUUUUGUGUUAGCUUUAUAUAUUCAAAAGAAGUGAGUACGUGCUAUAUGCUCUAAGCCGACGUACUAAUCUCGGUAACUUGACCCUACGCGGUUAAUGUUAAGCACGCCCCAACCUUCGUCAUGUACAAACUUUGUAGCUCUAUCGCGAACCUCAAGCGGUUCACAUAGGAUAAGACCAUAAAAUUUUUCUCUCGGUUUGGUUGAAUGAAAGUGCUUAGCAAAUAUAGUAGGUGCUCUACGCCAUCCUGCCCGUCGUGCGCGUAAAGCAUUUUCGUGGAGUCAUCGGUUUUUCUUUGUGCAGUACGGUGCUACAUGCUCUGCUCUAGUUCAGAUAAUAUUAUCAGGAUAAUAUUAUGCACGCCCCAAAGUUUGUGACUUUAUUGAGGUGUUCGUUCUCAAAUGGAUCUUUAUCUAAGGAUGAAACCAUAGGAUCAGGUCAAUGAGGUUGGUACAUCGAAGCAGAGCAUAUAGCACCAUAUUGCACAAAGACAAGUAGAUGACUGCACGAAGAAGCUUUACGUGCAUGGCAUAAGAACCUCAUUGACCUGAUCCUAUGCGGAUAAUGUUAAACACGUCCCAAAGUUCCACAAAUCUUGGUCUCGUCAUCCCGUGCAAACUCAAAUAUAUGAAUCUUUAUAUAAGGAUAAUAUCAUGCAAUUUGCCAAUUGCUUCAUACAAAAGCGGGUUUGAUUCGAUGAAAGUGCUUAUUAGAUAGCAGGCUAGGCUCUGCGUGAGCCUAUCGCCUUUCUUGAGAAGAUACCUAUGCGCCUUUCCUGAGAAGAUACCUAUGUCAAGCUCAUCGUGCGUGUAAAGCGUCUUUGUGCAGUCAUGUGCUUGUCCUCAAUCGCACUUUAUUGGUUAAAGGAUCGGAUCGACUGAUCAUCCUAUGGUCUUAUCCUUUGGCCAGAAGAAGAGUGUAUCUUUUUUUCUCUAAGGAAAAGAAGAGUAUCUUAGUCGAAGAGAAUGUACGUUCUUCACUAACCCCGUUGAUUUAGUGCUUGAGCUUUAGCAUAAUCAGCAGAGCACACGUACGUGUCAUCGAGAAACCUCUGGCCGGCCGGCCUUUGGGCCCGUUGCCACGUCGAUCUACUAUUUCUGUUGGAGAGAAUGAUGUGUAUGGAAUCUGCUUUUUACCAGGGCCAUCUUUUUUCCGAAAGAGUAGGGCCAUUCUGAUGCGAGGCUGAUCCUGCAUGGUGGAUGCCCUCCGUCAGCCCGUGAGUGCGCGGCUGGUGCAGGGCCCCGCGCCCCCGCCGACGACCGUGACGCGUCCAAACAUCCAAUGCUAUAUAAACACUUGCUGGGUGCCGACGAUUGCUCAUCAGACAGAAGCUUUAGCUAAGAACACUUCCGUUGUACUAAAUCGGACUAGCAGAGACAAGCAAAGAGAGAGAGCAAGCGCGGUGCUAAAUUAAUAACUGUCUGCGUGAGCGGAGCGUGGUUGACAUCCAUCGAUCGAUCGAAGAUGGGGUCUCUGGCGGGGCUGUACGGCGGCGGCCGGGGUUCGGCAAGCGGCAGCAGCGGAGCGUGGCGGGCGCCGGCGCCGGUGAGGCAGCUGUACUGGAGGGUGAGGAAAGCCGUGCUGCCGAGGCGACCGAGGCGCGGCGAGGCGAGGUUCGGGUACGACCUGCAGAGCUACUCCCGGAACUUCGACGACGGCCAGCUCGUCUCCGCUUAGUGCAUCUACUAGCUAGUAGCAUCUUCUAGCCCCGUGUAAACAGUUCUUUUUUGUUUCUGUUUGACACGGGCGGUAUGUUAAGCUAGUGCACUCUGUACAUUAUAGAUUUACGCCUUUCAUUUAUGUCGCAGUCAAGUUGUAAGGAUGGAAUGACUUGUGUGUAUAUAUGAUGUUUGAGCGUAUGAUAUGACACUUGUUAGCACUCAAACACACUCCGAACCCAACCCCGCCCAUCCAAAAUUAAGUUGUACUCCAACUUCAACCCAAAUUAAACCACAAAUUAAGCAUGGUUGGAUAUACACAAUAUCCAUUCAUAGAUCACGCUAUUGCUAGCAAAUAUGGCUUACCUAACAUUCAAAUUCUUUGGACCAUGAUUUGUAUGCUGUCAGCUUUGAAAUUACUUGCGGCUGGUCCUUUAGUUGGAAAAUUAUUGUCUGAUAUCAAAUGUUCGACCAGGUUGAUUUAUUCACUAACUGAACUUUGUUCUUGCUACUUCACUGAUGCCCGGCAUUAAGUCAGACAGUUCUGGUGGAGAACCCCAGGACAAUGAAUGACAAAGGCAAACUGGUAACUGAACUCAUUUAUAACUAAUACUGUCAACGAAAACUCUGUCUUUUCAUCACUCGUUUUGAUUAAUCAAAUAUCCGUGUGAUUACUGUUUAUGCCUGGUGGUGUCACCUCAUGGAAAAGAUGUCCGUCUUUGUGUUGUAUUUUUCUGAAAUGUAAAUAUGCUGACUAUAUGUGCUAGCUAGCCUAUGAUGUGCUCUGAACAAAAAUAUGCUGGCCAUAUAUUUUCUAAGAUCAUUAUGCCU